GAAAUGCGAUAAGUAAUGUGAAUUGCAGAAUUCCGUGAAUCAUCAAAUCUUUGAACGCACAUUGCGCUUCCUGGUAUUCCGGGAAGCAUAUCUGUUUGAGAAUCAGUAUUAAUAUCAAAAUUGGAAUUUUCUUUUAAAUUUCAACCUUUGGAAUUGAGGAUUUUACCUUUUUAAAAGAGGGUAAUCCUUUAAACAAAUUAAAAUGUUUUUUACCAAAUGGUUAACAAACGCUAAAGCAUGACCAAUACGGAGAUGCCUAUGGAUUUGUUAACGGAAUUUUGUGUUUAAUGAUUUUUCUUUAAAAUACGAAAGAAAUUACCAGUAAUUUUUUUUAAGACUCGAUCUCAAAUCAGAUAAGACUACCCGCUGAACUUAA
rnacentral:misc_RNA from 1 species